CAGAGCGCCGUCGACCCCACGCCACGCAGAGGUGAAGAUACGCAGGACGUCCUCUAAAGCAACUUCCGUGGGUGCCAGGUUAUGGGCUGGGGGCGGUGCUGACCUUGAGAGAGCGGAGGAGGCGCAGGCGCAGCACAGUUUAAACUUGAUUUUGUGAGGGGACGAACAGCGUGACAAUUAAAGAAGAUCUAGGAAUCAAAAGCUUCCUGAGGCCUUCACCAGAAGCAGAUGCUGGUGCCGUGCUUCUACAGCCUGCAGAACUAGCAACUGGGAACCUAAUUCUGACCAACAAGGAGGAAUUGUUUGGCUAAUUGGAAGUGACAGAAACCUUGGGAGAAAGCAACCGCAUACCAAGGAUAAUUAUAAGAAGGUAACAUGGGCCCUAAAGGAUAGUGUCAAGAAACCUGAAACCCCCAAAUGAGGUGAGACUUGCAAAAAAUGCUAAGGAAGGACAAAAAACAGGCCUUUUAAAAUUCUGUUCAGAACCAGAAGAUGAUCAAGAAAGGGAAAUGCCCACUAGCAGCUUCUACUGUAAGGUUAGAGCUGACAGAGAAAGAACUCCUUAACUACUAUUUGCUUCAUUCUCUACAAAGGAAACUAGAGAAGUGGGUUGACAUAAUAGAAAGAACAUGUGUUUGUGGGGCCAGGCAAACCUGGGUAUAAUUCUGUUUCAACACUGCUUAACAAAAUUUAUGGGAGGCUAUUGUUUUGGAUUGGGCUCCUGCACCAGGCCCCUCCAGACCAAACCAAAAUGGAGUCACUCAUACUAAAACUCCAGGUCACUGAACCAAAACUAAGUUGUUUAUCUGACCUUCCAAGAAAUCAGGAGGGAGAAAACAACCAAAUCUCCAAACAGGCCAGUUUUAAUCAGUGUGAUAAGGAAGUCCUCUCUUUUUUAACCCUAUAAAGAAAGUAACUUUUUGAAAUGAUCAAUACACUUUUUAUUCCUUAGUUCUGCUUUCUUUAGCCCCUUUCUGCCUAUAAAGCCCACUUCCUCUGCUCAACUUACUGAAGCAGUAUUCCAUUUUAUAGAAUGAGAUGCUGCCCAAUUCUGGAAUCACUAAUAAAAGCUAAUUAGAUCUUUACAUUUGUUGAAAUUUUGUCUUUGACAACAUUACUAGUUAUAUUAUUCUGGGUAUCCUUUUCCCCAUCUGUAAAAUGGACAUAGCGAUAUCUUUCCCAUCGGAUUUUUCUCAUUAAUAGAAGUAAUACAUUCAAAACACUGAGCCAGGUUCACACCAGUGAGCAACUUGAUAAUAUUACUCAGAAGCAUAUUAUAGAUAUUGACAGAAAGCAAUACUGUUCCUAAUUAGGGGAAGAAAUUCUAAGAGAGCACCUAAGAGUUUGAAUUUAGAUUAUAACAUUUGCUCUGAGUAUUUUACAUUACAGCCUUUGGGGGGAAAAGUACAAAUGAGAUCUGAGAACAGUGGUACUCAUCUUUGAGGAAUUAUGGAAAACGUAAUAGAACACUAAACAUGGGAAAACAUCGGCCUUCAGGUUGAAAAGUGGAAAUCUCAAUCCCUGAAUUUUUUUUUUUUUUUUACUAAGUAACUUUUUUGCCCAUUGGUGUCAUUUAACCAAAAGAAGAAGAAAUUCCAAAAAAAAAAAAAAAUCAACUGAAACAAAAGAAUAGACUGAAUUUGCCAAAGGAGUGCUUAAAUGGAGACCUAAGUCUUCAAAGCUAAGGUGAUGAGAAAAGAACAGGUCUUAAAUUUCUUCAGAGCUUCAAGAGGCAAAGCUUGAAAGAAGAAAAAAUUUUAUUCUUAGGUAAGAUGUAAGGGUAGAAUGGUGGCCCCUGCAAAAGGUAAGCCUUCCUCCUAAUCCUAGAAUCGUGGAUGGUACCUUAUUUGGAUAAAAAGGUCUUUGCAGAUGUAAUUAAGAACCUUGAGAUGAGGAGAUCAUCCUGGAUUAUCUGGUGGACUGUAAAGUCAAUGACAUGUAUUCAUAUAUGACAGAAGAGAAGACAUGGAGAAGAGGAGGGAGUAGUUGUGACCGUGGAGGCAGAGAAUGGAGUAAUGUGAUCAUAAAUCAAGGAAUGCUGACAGCCACUAAAGCUGGAGAAGGCCAAGGACAGAUAUUCAAUCCUCCCGUAGAAGUACAGCCCUGCUAAUGCAUUGAUUUUGGACUUCUGGCCUCAGAACUGUCUGCAAAGCAUGGAAAUUUGUAUCUUCAUUCACUUUUGUUUUCAUGGACUCUUUUCAUGUUUGAACUUCUCAUGGCUGGAGCACAAUGCCACGAUCUCAGCUCACUGAAACCUCCACCUCCUGUGUUCAAGCGAUUCUCCCAUCUCAGCCUCCCAAGUAGCUGGGAUUACAGGCACGCACCAUCACGACUGGCUAAUUUUUGUAUUUUUAGUAGAGAUGGGGUUUCACCAUGUUGGCCAGGCUGGUCUUGAACUCCUGACCUCAGGUGAUUCAUCCACCUCAGCCUCCCAAAGUGCUGGGAUUACAGGCGUGAGCCACUGCGCUGGGCCAGGUACAUUUGUGUAUGCAGUCUUCUUUUUAAAUUUUUUAAAAAAUAUUAUUUUAAAAAAUAUUUUGUAGAGACAAGCUUUCGCUAUGUUUCCCAGGCUGGUCUCGAACUUCUGGCCUCAAGCGAUUCUUUUGCCUCAGCCUCCAAAACUACUGGGAUUACAGCAUGAGCCAUCAUGCCCAGCUAUACAGCCUUCUAAUUUACUAAAUAACGUUGAUGUGCUUGAUCAUGUUCCCUGGAAAACAGACCCUGAGACGGAGAUUUGCAUGCAGGAAUAUUUAUUCGAGAAUGCUCUUAGAAUCAACACUGGUGAAAUGCAGGAUUGAGUAGAGGGAGAAGUUCGCUGUGAUGUACUUACAAUAAAGCCUAAGCUGACCCUAGGAUGGCUCUAAAGCUAGAGUGGCACUUUAGAGGCAUCCCAAAUGAAGGCAGGGGGUUGAACCUCUGUAUGUACAUCAAUGGCCACUCAUUUAUCUAAUGGCUGACUCCUGGAGAUGAGUGUGACCUUGAGUAAGGCUGAGAGCAAUUCCUGUAUGGAGCUGAUAUUUUGAGAGCUGUCAGCCAACGUCAUUCCCAGAAGCUGAGCAAAGAAUUCUUUCAACCCUGAAAAGGAAUCUGGGUAGUAUAGCUGUGUUCAAUACAACUGAUAAUCAUAAAGGGACAUGUAUCUAUCUGAAGUUGUUAGAUGAUCACCAACACCACCACCACCACCAUCAUCAUUGUCAUCAUCAUCACAUUUACACUGAUAACUUUAGUAUGUGCCAGGCACUUGUCCUAAGUGCUUCGAAAUAAUAUAUUAACUUGUGUAAUUCUCAUGUUAACCCUAUAAUAUAAUCUUAAAUGCUUUGUCCUCAAAAAUAAAAAUCAAUAUAAGUGCUUUUUCUGUAACACAUUCCAAUCCAGAAUGCUUUACUAAUGACCAUUCAGUAAUUUCCAUUGUAUGUUAUUUUAUCCAUCAUGAACAGCCCCAUUUGGUGAUAGUCAUUGGCCAAGAUAGUUACUUUUGCUCAUGGGUUGCAUCUUCUAAAUAAUGGAUGGUAUUAAUGAUGUCUGUAAUUUACUUUCAAAUAAAUGAUCACAGAUAAUAUGAUACUGUGUGGAUAUAUGUGUGUGUGUGAUAUUAUGUGUGUUAAUUUAGGCUAUAAGUGCACUUGUUUGCCAUAAUUGAGAAGUCACAUUCCCAUGUAUGGUCAGAAAGUAUUUAAUCAAAAGGCCGCACUCCAGAGGAAGCUAUGUCAAGUGCUCAAGUCAUACUUAUCUUGAACAACACUAUAAUUUUUCUAAUUAGUAUAUUGAAUAUAAGCAAUGUGGCAAUGUGUUUUCACUGGUGAAAUUAGUGUUGUUCAAAGUGUGUGCAUUGGCUAAUAUAUUUUAGACAUUCUGCCUUUGCAAAAUGGGUUGUAAAAAUCUAGUAAGCAUCAUAAUCUUUAUCCUUAGGAAUGGCAUCCAAGGUUUGAUUUCUAAAAUGUCCCGUAUCUAGCUAUUGAUUCCAUGGAUUCUGAUUGCCUAAAUCCUGCCUCAAUAUUGCCGCGUUUGCCUUAAAUGAACUUUCAUACAUGUGAUAGUCAUAUAUGAUAGCCAGCCUCCAAGUUGGCCCUCAAUGACCUGACACCAAUGAUCCUUAGUGUUCAUCUCUUUUUAUAGUCUCUUCCCAUAUCAAAUAGAGCUGGUCUGUGUAACCAAUAAGAUAUUCUGGAAACGUGAAGAUUAAUUCGUCAGUAAUGUGAGUGAGCCAUCUUGGAAGCAGACCAUCCAGUCCCAGUUAAGCCUUAGGUAACAACAGCCCUGGCCAACAUCUUGAUUCAUGAGAGACCCUGAACCAAAACUAUCCAGCCAACCUACUCUCAAAUCCCUGACCUACAGAAACUCUGAUAUAAUAAAUAUUUAUUGUUGUUUCAAGUCACUAAAUUUUGGGGUGAUUUGUUGUGCAUCAUGGAUAACUAAUACAUGAAAGAGAGAAUUGGAUGUUAAUUGAGUUUAUUGAAGAGAUUAUAUGAAUUGUUGUGUGUAUGACUCCCUGUCAAUAACUGUUUAUUUUAAUUUUUUGAGAUGGAGUCUCACUCUGUCUCCCAGGCUGGAGUGCAGUGGCAUGAUCUUGGCUCACGGCAGCCUCCGCCUCGCAGGUUCAAGCGAUUCUCUGCCUCAGCCUCCUGAGUAGCUGGAAUUACAGGCAUGUGCCAGGACGUCCAGCUAAUUUUUGUGUUUUUUCAGAGACAGGGUUUUGUCAUGUUGGCCAGGCUGGUCUUGAACUCCUGGCCUCAAGUGAUCUGCCCACCUCAGCCUCCCAAAGUGCUGGGAUUAUAGGCAUGAGCCACCACAUUCAGCCAUAGGUUUUUAAUGUUUGCGUGUACGACAGAAUUUGGCCCAAGACUUGCUUUAUUGUAACUUAGUAGCCAACCCUUUCACUCAACAGUUGGUGACUACCUUUAUCUGUCAAAAAGAACAAAAUAGUUGUGUGUGACCAAAUUGCUUAGAUCGUUUUGCAAGAGAGCCAUAUUAAUUUUUCUAUGAUAAAAAAAUCAAGCCUAUGAUGGCUUGAUUCAAUCCACUUCUCUUUAUCACCCUGUUCACUCCAGUCCAGUCAUCUGUCACUUGGUUUAUUACAAUAACCUUUUAACUCAUUUAUGCAUAUUCAUUGGUCUUUUUCCAUCCCAUCAUCAACAUUAAAGUUAGAGUAGGCUUUUAAAAAUACAAGGCUAUUUAUGUAAUUUCCCCCAUUUAAAAUCUUUCAGUGCUCGGGCUGGUCAUGGUGGCUCACACCUGUAAUCCCAGCACUUUGGGAGGCUAAGGCAGGAGGAUCACCUGAGCCCAGGAGUUUGAGACCAGCCUGGGCAACACAGUGACUGAUCUCAUCUCUAAAAAAUAAAAGAUUUAGCUGAGUGUGGUGGCACAGCCCUAGCUACUAGGGAGGUUGAGGUGGAAAGAUUGCUUGAGCCCAGUAGUUCGAAGCUGCAGUGAGCCAUGAUCAUGCCACUACACUCCAACCUGGGUGACAGAGUGAGAUUCUAUCUCUAAAAAAUUAAGAGUAAAAAUAAUAAAAUAAUAUAAAAUCUUUCAGUGCUUGAAAAAAUGAGGCAAAGACAUAAGUUAACAUGACCUAUAAAACCUUUCCAUCCUUAUCUUGCACUCUUCUUUCUCUUACACUCUGUGACCCCACCUCACACUGGCCUUUUUUCAAUUACUAGUACUCUUUCUAUUCCCACUUACCACAGAGAAUUUGUACACGGUGUUUCUUCUGCCUUGAAAUCUCUUCUGUUUCCUCUUUGUCUAGUUUAAGGCUGCCUAUCUUUCAUAUCUAGUGCAUAUGUGAGUCCCUCAGCAAAACUUUCCCUAAUCUCCCUGAUUGAUUCUCAUAGCAUCAUACAUCCCUCCUUUGUGUGCCAGGAACAUUGCAAUUUUACAUUUGUUUGUGUAACUAUUUGAUUAAUGUUCAUGUUGACUGCUAGUACAUUCUGUGAAAGUAGGUACCAUAUCUGAUAUCACUCACUCAUGUAUGCCUUGGGGUCUACCACGGUGCUGAAAAUGUGGUGCAUAUUUGAUAAAUAUUUGACGAAUAUAUGAAUAACUGAUUGACUAAUUUAAUGAGUUCAGGUGGCUACUAAUGUCGCUUCAGAGUGAGAGUGCCUAGUUUCAAAUUUUGGCAGUUCCUAACUGCAAUGUUAGGGAUGAUUUUAUCUCAUUUUUCCUUCGAUUUGUUCUCUGUAAAUUGGGAAUAAUAAUUACCUUAUAGAGUUUUGAAAGGAUUAAAUGAGCUAGUAUACAUUAAAGACUUAAAGCAGUCCUUAACACAGCAAGUACUUUAUGCAUAUAUGAUAGCUACAAGUAUGAUUAUUAACAUCCUUAGUCAAUCUGUCAUACUAGUUCCUUAGGCCAUGGCCACCAGUUGCUUGGGUAAAUUCAUUCUUUACUUGUAGAUGCCAAAUUUCAACUGUCUGUGUAAGAAACAAGAAGCUAUGUCAAAGACAAAAAUUGAGGGUGGAAGCAUAUAAUUAUUAUUAGGUGGUGCAAUUUUGACUUAGGUAUAGGGAUGCUAAUGUUAGCCCCACAUCACUGAUAUUUAUUUGAUAUUUACUAUUUAUACAAAGAGACCAAAGGAGCAGAUUUUGUAUUUAAUGAGGGAGAGCCUCAAAGAGUUCUAUACCUACCUUUUAGUAAUGCAUCGCAAAGAGUUGAGUCCACCAUCUCUCCAUAAGUUUUUGCUUUGGCUAUUAAUUUUUGGGAUUCCCUUAUUAAUCUUUAUUUGAGCCUCAAACAAUGGUAAAAUAUUAACAUCAUAUAAAAUGCUAUUGCUCUCUUUGGGCUAUAGACCUUCCACACUAAGGCCCUGACUUUAAAAUGCUAAAGCAAUAGGUUUAUAACUUUUGAAUAUUAUAUGUUAGAAACUAUUGAGAUGAUGUUCAUUCUUAUUAAACAGUAGAAAUGUUCUUCAUGCUCAGUGCAAAGGCAGCAAUGGUUGGAUUUAUUUAGUUACUAAUGCUUUUUACAGAAGUCGUCAAUGUUAGCAUUUUAUUAUAUUCAGGGUCUCCACUUACAGACAGGUCCACUGUAAGCUGCCAUUGAUUUAGGCAAUAGGUCAUAAACUGAAGAGUUGUUUUUGGUUAAGUGUUACCAGUGAUGCAUUCUGUUCUUUGUUUACUACCAACCACGCAAAACAACACUUUGUACUUUGCAAAGAAACUGAGAUCACCCAGUCCUUGCAACUUAAGUCAUUUCAGUCUGGGUGAAAAAAAAAAACUCUUUUCAACUCUUUGCCAGUUCUUCCUGGCUUUUUGAGAAGGAGAUACCUCUGAAAGAAAAUAGAUCAAAGUUACAUAGGACUAAGGGCAGAUCACAUAGCUAUACUUUGUAGUCUGUUGAAAACAGAACUAGCUUUACUGGAAAAGAGAUCUACUGUUGUAGCUAUAAGGGGCAGAGGGAAGGUUAGAGGGAAGGUUACUAACCUAAAAAUCCAACCACCAUCCCUCUACUAGUUUGUCAGACUUUAAUAUUCCAUCAUCAGAAAUUCAUUUUAAAACAUAAUUUAAAAGAUUUUAAAAGAUAAUUCCUUAAAGCAGUCACCUGUGGAAAAAAGUGAAUUCUCUAUCAAAUCCUUUUCCUGAAAGUGAAUUUCCUGAAAGCACUAAGACUAAGAGGUAACACUGGCUCCUGAAGUUCGGAUUUGACUGUAGGGGUGCUGUGGAGAGAAAAGGUUGGAAGAGCACAGACUGCUUUUGAAGAGAGGCUAGCAGGAAAUCUCUGGCCAUGGAAAACAGUGAUUUCAAUGUGUAAAGACUAUGAGGAAAAAGAGAAAAAGAAGUGGAUUUUUUUUUAAUUUGCUGUUCUGGACGUCUGUAAUAGAAGAAAGGAAACAUGUUACCUCUGCUGAGAUAAAGUGAAGGGACACUCAGACAAGAUUGGAGGGUCAUUAUCUUUUCAUACCUAGAAUGUGAGAACAACUUCACUUCCCUAAAUAUUCUGGUCUUUAGUUUUUGUCUGAUUAUUAUUAUGCCAAAUUCAUUCCUAUUUAUAAAGUGAUUAGUAUAUACAAAGCCCCUUGAAAGUAAUAAAAAAAAAUUUUUAAGUUUUUGGUUUUGGGGGAGCUUUCCAUGUGUACUCUCUCCUAGUAAUUCUUUCAUCAAUAAACAAAUCAUUUACCUGUUAAACUAGACAUAAUAGAUUAAGGGUCUCUCCAUGAUAAGUGAGGAAACACAGGUCACUUUGUCUUGUAGUAAGGAACCAAGGAAAGUAAAGAUGGGAUGAAUAGACAAGGAGGCUGGUACAGAUUUAUAAGUUUAGUUUUUAUUAUGUCCUUGGUAUUUUCCAGUUGAACUAGAAAGGAAAAGCUAUAUAUGAAAAAAAAAAACUAUCACCUUAUGCUGAGCAAAGGAAUUUUGUUGCAGAAUGAAAAUUUGCUAAUGGGUAUAGGGGAUAUAGAAAUGGGAGGAACAGAGUGGUUGUACCCAUUUAAACCCCACCAACAAUGUAUAGAAGUAGUAGUGCUGAUUUUGAAAGUAUGUAAUGGAAUCUGAGUAUGGUUUUAAUUGUCAGUUCCCUGAUGAAUAAUGAUAUUGAAUUCUUUUUAAUUUGCUUGUUGUCUGUUUAAAUAUCUACAUUUAUGAAAGGCCUACUUGAAUCUUUUGUUCAUUUCUUAAAACAUUGAGUUGUCUUUCUCUUACUGAUUUGUAGUCAAGUUUUAUAUAUUUUGGGUACAAGUCAUAUGUCAAUAGUUGUUUUACAUUUUUCUUCUCCUAAUCUGUAGAUUAUUGCUCACUCUCUUAAUGAUAUGUUUCAAUGAACAGAAGUUUUUAAUUUUAAUGAAGUCUAUUUGAUCAAACUCUUCUUUCAUGGUCAGUGCUUUUUGUAUUUAAGAAAACAUUGCCAGGGGGUAUUCCAAGAUGGCCAAAUAGGAACAGCUCUAGUCUGCAGCUCCCAGCAUGAUUGACGCAGAAGACAAGUGAUUUCUGCAUUUCUAACUGAGGUAUCUGGUUCAUCUCAUUGGGACUGGUUGGACAGUGGGUGCAGCCCACGGAGAGUGAGCUGAAGCAGGACAGGGCAUCACCUCACCUGGGAAGUGCAAGGGGUCGGGGAAUUUCUCUUUCCUAGCCAAGGGAAGCCAUGACAGACUACCUGGAAAAACGGGACACUCUCCGCCCAAAUACUGCACUUUUCCCAAGGUCUUAGCAACCAGCAGACAAGGUGAUUCUCUCCUGUGCCUGGCUCAGUGGGUCCCAUGCCCAUGGAGUCUUGCUCACUGCUAGCGCAGCAGUCUGAGAUCGAUCUGUGAGGUAGCAGCCUGGCCGGGGGAGGGGCGCCUGCCAUUGCUGAGGCUUGAGUAGGUAAACAAAGUGGCUGAGAAGCUCGAACUGGUUGGAGCCCACCGCAGCAAGGCCUACUGCCUCUAGACUCCACCUCUGUGGGCAGGGCAUAGCUGAACAAAAGGCAGCAGACAACUUCUGUAGACUUAAACGUCCCUGUCUGACAGCCCUGAAGAGAGCAGUGGUUCUUCCAGCACAGCGUUUGAGCUCUGAGAACCGACAGACUGCUUCCUCAAGUGGAUCCCUGACCCCUGUGUGGCCUAACUGGGAGACACCUCCCAGUAGGAGCUUACCUCAUAUAGGCGGCUGCCCCUCUGGGAUGAAGCUUCCAGAGAAAUGAUUAGGCAGCAAUAUUUGCUGUUCUGCAGUAUUUGCUAUUCUGCAUCCUCCGCUGGUGAUAACCAGGCAAACAGGGUCUGGAGUGGAACUCCAACAAACUCCAGCAGACCUGCUGCUGAGGGACCUGACUGUUAGAACGAAAACUAACAAACAGAAAGGAAUAGCAUCAACAUCAACAAAAAGGUCAUCUACACCAAAACUCCAUCUGUAGGUCACCAACAUCAAAGAGCAAAGGUAGAUAAAACCACAAAGAUGGGGAGAAACCAGAGCAGAAAAGCUGAAAAUUCUAAAAAUCAGAGCACAUCUUCUCCUUCAAAGGAUCACAGCUCCUCACCACCAACAGAACAAAGCUGGACACAAUGAUUUUGACAAGUUGACAGAAGUAGGCUUCAGAAGGUUGAUAGUAACACUCUGAGCUAAAGGAGGAUGUUUGAAACCAUCACAAGGAAGCUAAAAACCUUGAAAAAACAUUAGAUGAAUGGCUAACUAGAAUAAACAGUGUAGAGAAGACCUUAAAUGACCUGAUGGAGCUGAAAACCAUGGCAUGAGAACUUCGUGAUACAUGGACAAGCUUCAAUAGCUGAUUUCAUCAAGUGGAAGAAAGGGCAUCAGUGAUUGAAGAUCAAAUUCAUGAAAAAAAGUGAGAAGAAAAGAUUAGAGAAAAAACAGUAAAAAGAAACAAACAAAGCCUCCAAGAAAUAUGGGACUAUGUGAAAAGACCAAAUCUACAUUUGAUUGGUGUACCUGAAAGUGACAGGGAGAAUGGAACCAUGUUGGAAAACCCUCUGCAGGAUAUUAUCCAGGAGAACUUCCCCAACCUUGCAAGGCAGGCCAACAUUCAAACUCAGGAAAUACAGAGAAUGCCACAAAGAUACUCCUUGAGAAGAGCAACUCUGAGACACAUAAUUGUCAGAUUCACCAAGGUUGAAAUGAAGGAAAAAAUGUUAAGGGCAGCCAGAGAGAAAGGUUGAGUUACCCACAAAGGGAAGCCCAUCAGACUAACAGCAGAUCUCUUGGCAGAAACCCUACAAGCCAGAAGAGAGUGGGGGCCAAUAUUCAACAUUCUUAAAGAAAAUAAUUUUCAACCCAGAUUUCAUAUCCAGCCAAACUAAGCUUCAUUAGUGAAGGAGAAAUAAAAUCCUUUACAGACAAGCAAAUGCUGAGAGAUUUUGUCACCACCAGGCCUGCCCUACAAGAGCUCGUGAAGGAAGGCACUAAACAUGGAAAGGAACAACCAGUACCAGCCACUGCAAAAACAUGCCAAUUUGUAAAGACCAUCGAUGCUAUGAAGAAACUGCAUCAAUUAAUGGGCAAAAUAACCAGUGAACAUCACAAUGACAGGAUCAAAUUCACACAUAACAAUAUUAACCUUAAAUGUAAAUGGGCUAAAUGACCCAAUUAGAAGACACAGACUGGCAAAUUGGAUAAAGAGUCAAGACCCAUCAGUGUGCUGUAUUCAGGAGACCCAUCUCAUGUUGGAAAACACACAUAGGCUCAAAAUAAAGGGACAGAGGAAGAUCUACCAAGCAAAUGGAAAGAAAAAAAAAGCAGAGGUUGCAAUUCUAGUCUCUGAUAAAACAGACUUUCAACCAACAAAGAUCAAAAGUGACAAAGAAGGCCAUUACAUAAUGGUAAAGGGACAAUUCAACAAGAAGAGCUAACUAUCCUAAAUAUAUAGGCACCCAAUACAGGAGCACCCACCUUCAUAAAACAAGUCCUUAGAGACCUACAAAGAGACCUAGACUCUCAUACAAUAAUAAUGGGAGGCUUUAACAUCCCUCUGUCAAUAUUAGACAGAUCAAUGAGACAGAAGGUUAACAAGGAUAUCCAGGAUUUGAACUCAGCUCUGCAACAAGUGGACCUAAUAGACAUCUACAGAACUCUCCAUCCCAAAUCAACAGAAUUUACAUUCUUCUCAGCACCACAUUGCACUUAUCCUAAAAUUGACCACAUAAUUGGAAGUAAAGCACUCCUCAACAAAUGUAAAAGAACAGAAAUCACAACAAACUGUCAGACGACAGUGAAAUCAAAUUAGAACUCCGGAUUAAGAAACACACUCAAAACCACACAACUACAUGGAAACUGAACAACUUGCUCCUGAAUGACUACUGGGUAAAUAACGAAAUGAAGGCAGAUAUAAAGAUAUACUUGGAAACCAAUGAGAACAAAGACACAACAUACCAGAAUCUCUGGGACACAUUUAAAGCAGUGUGUAGAGGGAAAUUUAUAGCACUAAAUGCCCACAAGAGAAAGCAGGAAAGAUCUAAAAUCGACACACUAACAUGUCAAUUAAAAAAACUAGAGAAGCAAGAGCAAACAAAUUCAAAAGCUAGCAGAAGGCAAGAAAUAACUAAAAUCAGAGCAGAACUGAAAGAGAUAGAGACACAAAAAACCCUUCAAAAAAUUAAUGAAUCCAGGAGCUGUUUUUUUGAAAAGAUCAACAAAAUUGAUAGACCACUAGCAAGACUGGUAAAGAAGAAAAGAGAGAAGAAUCAAAUAGAUGCAAUAAAAAAUGAUAAAGGGGAUAUCACCACUGAUCCCACAGAAAUGAAAACUACCAUCAGAGAAUACUAUAAACACCUCUACGAAAAUAAACUAGAAAACCUAGAUGAAAUGGAUAAAUUCCUGGACACAUACACUCUCCCAAGACUAAACCAGGAAGAAGUUCAAUCUCUGAAUAGACCAAUAACAGGCUCUGAAAUUGAGGCAAUAAUUAAUAGCCUACCAACCAAAAGAAGUCCAGGACCAGACGGAUUCACAACUGAAUUCUACCCGAGGUACAAAGAGGAUCUGGUACCAUUACUUCUGCAGCUAUUCCAAUCAACAGUAAAAAAGGGAAUCCUCCCUAGCUCAUUUUAUGACACCAACAUCAUUCUAAUACCAAAGCCUGGCAGAGAAACAACAAAAAAAGAGAAUUUUUGACCAAUAUCCCUGAUGAACAUCGAUGCAAAAAUUCUCAAUAAAAUAUUGGCAAACUGAAUCCAGCAGCACAUCAAAAAGCUUAUCCAUCACGAUCAAGUCGGCUUCAUCACUGGGAUGCAAGACUGGUUCAACAUAUGCAAAUCAAUAAAUGUAAUCCAUCACAUACACAGAACCAAUGACAAAAACCACAUGAUUAUCUCAAUAGAUGCAGAAAAGGCCUUUGACAAAAUUCAACAGCCUGUCAUACUAAAAACUCUCAAUAAACUAGGUUUUGAUGGCAUGUAUCUCAAAAUAAUAAGAGCUAUUUGUGACAAACCCACAGCCAAUAUCAUACUGAAUGGGCAAAAACUGGAAGCAUUCCCUUUGAAAACCAGCACAAGACAAGGGUGUCCUCUCUCACCACUCCUGUUCAACGUAGUGUUGGAAGUUCUGGCCAGGGCAAUCAGGUAAAAGAAAUAAAGGGUAUUCAACUAGGAAAUAAGAAAGUCAAAUUGUCCCUGUUUGCAGAUGACAUGAUUGUGUAUUUUGAAAACCCCGUCGUCUCAGCCCAAAAUCUCCUUAAGCUAAUAAGCAACUUCAGCAAAAUCUCAGGAUACAAAAUCAAUGUGCAAAAAUCACAAGCAUUCCUGUACACCAUUAACAGACAAACAGAGCCAAAUCAUGAGUGAACUCCCAUUCACAAUUGCUACAAAGAGAAUAAAAUACCUAGGAAUCCAACUUACAAGGGAUGUGAAGGACCUCUUCAAGGAGAACUACAAACCACUCCCCAACGAAAUAAAAGAGGACACAAACAAAUAGAAGAAUAUUCUGUGCUCAUGGAUAGGAAGAAUCAAUAUCAUGAAAAUGGCCAUACUGCCCAAAGUAAUUUAUAGAUUCAAUGCCAUCCCCAUCAAGUUACCAAUGACUUUCUUCACAGAAUUGGAAAAAACUACUUUCAAGUUCGUAUGGAACCAAAAAAAGAGCCCACGUUGCCGAGACAAUCCUAAAUCAAUGUUCAUCAAGGAUAUUGGUCUAAAAUUCUCUUUUUGUUGUGUCUCUGCCAGGCUUUGGUAUCAGGAUGAUGCUGGCCUCAUAAAAUGAAUUAGGGAGGAUUCCCUCUUUUUCUAUUGAUUGGAAUAGUUUCAGAAGGAAUGGUACCAGCUCCUCCUUGUACCUCUGGUAGAAUUCGACUGUGAAUCCAUCUGGUCCGGGACAUUUUUUCGUUGGUAAGCUAUUAAUUAUUGCCUCAAUUUCAGAGCCUGUUAUUGGUCUAUUCAGAGAUUCAACUUCUUCCUGGUUUAGUCUUGGGAGGGUAUAUAUGUUGAGGAAUUUAUCCAUUUCUUCUAGAUUUUCUAGUUUAUUUGCGUAGAGGAGUUUAUAGUAUUUUCUGAUGGUAGUUUGUAUUUCUGUGACAUCGUUGGUGAUAUCCCCUUUGUCAUUUUUUAUUGCGUCUAUUUGAUUCUUCUCUCUUUUCUUCCUUAUUAGUCUUGCUAGCAGUCUAUCAAUUUUGUUGAUCUUUUCAAAAAACCAGCUCCUGGAUUCAUUGAUUUUUUGAAGGGUUUUUUGUGUCUCUAUUUCCUUCAGUUCUGCUAUGAUCUUAGUUAUUUCUUGCCUUCUGCUAGCUUUUGAAUGUGUUUGCUCUUGCUUCUCUAGUUCUUUUAAUUGUGAUGUUAGGGUGUCAAUUUUAGAUCUUUCCUGCCUUCUCUUGUGGGCAUUUAGUGCUGUAAAUUUCCCUCUACACACUGCUUUAAAUGUGUCCCAGAGAUUCUGGUAUGUUGUGUCUUUGUUCUCACUGGUUUCAAAGAACGUCUUUAUUUCUGCCUUCAUUUCAUUAUGUACCCAGUAGUCAUUCAGGAGCAGGUUGUUCAGUUUCCAUGUAGUUGAGCAGUUUUGAGUGAGUUUCUUAAUUCUGAGUUCUAGUUUGAUUGCACUGUGGUCUGAGAGACAGUUUGUUAUAAUUUCUGUUCUUUUACAUUUGCUGAGGAGUGCUUUACUUCCAACUAUGUGGUCAAUUUUGGAAUAGGUGUGGUGUGGUGCUGAAAAAAAUGUAUAUUCUGUUGAUUUUGGGUGGGGAGUUCUGUAGAUGUCUAUUAGGUCUGCUUGGUGCAGAGCUGAGUUCAAUUCCUGGAUAUCCUUGUUAACUUUCUGUCUCAUUGAUCUGUCUAAUGUUGACAGUGGGGUGUUAAAGUCUCCCAUUAUUAUUGUGUGGGAGUCUAAGUCUCUUUGUAGGUCACUGAGGACUUG